GACGAACCGAGCGAACGUUGUUCGGAAUUACUGGGCGUAAAGCGUGCGUAGACGGUUUCGUAAGUCGGGUGUGAAAGCCCCGGGCUCAACCUGGGAAUUGCAUUCGAGACUGCGUAGCUAGGGUGCGGAAGAGGGAAGCGGAAUUUCCGGUGUAGCGGUGAAAUGCGUAGAUAUCGGAAGGAACAUCAGUGGCGAAAGCGGCUUCCUGGUCCAGCACCGACGUUCAGGCACGAAAGCGUGGGGAGCAAACAGG
rnacentral:rRNA from 1 species